UACGGAGGGAGCAAGCGUUACUCGGAAUUAUUGGGCGUAAAGGGCGCGUAGGCGGUCUGUCGCGUCGGAUGUGAAAACCCAGGGCUCAACCCUGGGCCUGCAUUCGAUACGGGCAGACUAGAGUUCGGUAGGGGAGACUGGAAUUCCCGGUGUAGUGGUGGAAUGCGUAGAUAUCGGGGGGAAUACCAGUGGCGAAAGCGGCACCCUGGCGUCGUACUGACGCUCAUGUGCGAAAGCGUGGGGAGCGAACGGG
rnacentral:rRNA from 1 species